AAUGUCCACAUGGUGGUGCUGAUACAGUCUGGAAUACAUUGGGUGUGGGAAUGAGUUGACCCCUCCUUCCCACUGUGGGGAAUUGUCAAAUGAGGGUGAACCACAAAGUGGAAGUAUUUUCUUAGCUCGUGAGAUUUGCCACGAGGACGGGACUAUAGGGAGAUUGGACUCAAAUUGUCUAAACCAGCGCUCAGAGUUGAAGCAGGUCAUCCAGGUGGAAUCUGGGAAGGAUGCAGUCCUAGACUGCUCUGUGAAGUUCAGUGAGGAAUCCCCUGGAUGCUGCUGAGCCCAAAAUAUCAGCUUUCCAUGCCACCUGCCAAUGAGAGACAAAGUUGUGUCCCUGUUGGUUAAAGAAACCCAGCCUGAAGAAGAGGGUCCGUAUGAGUGUGUGGUGAACACUGACAGUGGAAACACAAAUUGUAACUUCAUGCUGAAGGUCACAGUAUGAGACCAGCACCAGGUUCCUGAGAAUGCUGCAAAUCAAAAGGAAAUUCCAAAGAACAGUUACAAGAAUGUGACUGCUGUAUUUGUGGUAGUAGGCUCUCUUGCCAUUGGACUGCUGCUUCUCAAGCUGUUUCAAGCCAGAAGACUCAGACAACAUGAGCACCCAGGGUCAUGUCCAUUAGGACACACUGUUGCAAAAUGCUUCAAGAAGUUAUUCAGAUAGUUCCUCCCCAUUUCAGACUGCUUCUUUCCAUUUCGUGCCUAGUGAACACGACCUUGCAUUUGACAAUCUCUGCCGAGAGGAAUGCAGAGGUCUGGGAAGAUUAGGAGAGUACUUUCUGUUCUGGCUAAAUGCCAGGAUGUUGCUAUAUAAGUGGAAUGGAGAACUAACUCCUCGACAAGAUCACUUAGUUUAGUUUUUAUUGUUUUAGUUUCUCUAUUGCUCUCCUUCUCCUCCCCAGAUGGGAAUUCAGGAUUUGUUAUUCAAUUGUCUCUGUAACAAAUCACAAAACAUGGUAGAGCACACAGUAUCAACCCCUGUAAAAGGUUGCUUCUGGUUUCUCUUUCCAGAUGAACCAGUGGCACAGGAAGACUCUUUUGUGGCAGAAUGUUUGAGUAUAUUAUUUUUGUCUACCUAAUCGAAGAGGGAUUCCUGUCAAAACGAUCAAAUUCAUAGUAAAAUGCAGUGUAUAAAAUGUGUGUGGUAAAAUGGUGUAUAACAGUGUUGGUAUUCCUAUUGUCCCCUAUGGAACCAGAGCCUGAGGAUACAGCAGUCCCAGCAGAGCACGACUCCAGCACCAGGACAGGACUGUUUCCGUAGCGACAGAUGUAUUAUCCGGAGUGUUAUGGGCUCUCUUCCCUGUCGGUGUCAUGUCUGCUCUGUCUCUCACGCCACACAGCUAACUGAAUGUUAAUGCUUUGCCUGGAAGAGAGAACAAUCUGGUUCAACACUAUUGUGUUCCCCCUCUGCAGGAGAAAUGGAGUGCAUGCAUUAUCCUGCUACCAAGCUAAGUGUUAACAGCAUUGUCUGUAGUUGUUAACCACACCAGACUAUUCUUUCAUAUAUUGUGACUAAAACCUGAUGUUAGAGUUCAGUGUGUCAUCGGGAUCUCUGUUGAAAAGUUUGUUUCUGUUGGAGAGUCUGUCCUCUCUGUCUCUGUCCUCUCUGUCUCUCUCUCUGUUGUGGUUAGAAUGGAUAGUUCAGAGUAACAUUCAUUCAUGACGUUAUAGAUUAGCUGUUUUGGCGGUUGUCGGUCUUCGCGUUCAAUGAUACCGAAUUCCUAGCUGCAGACUAGUAAUUAAUAUCAAAGACUUGUUCUUAUUCUGUCGGUAUCGAUAGUCUAAGAGUUUAACCACAUGGUAUGGUUAAAAGUUCAGCAAGAGAAAUGCAUGGUCUGCAACCUUUAGCCAUCUCGUAAUUGAGGUAAGCUUGGCCUCCUCUCAAACCUUGCCCCUCAUUAUCAAGGUAAGCUGGUCUCGUCUCAAACCUUAGCCCUCUCGUUAUCGAGGUAAGCUGGUCUGGUGAUAGAAAACCUAGGUGGGGAUUUUAUUUAGAAGAGCAGAAAAGGGCCAGUCCCAUGACACCAGACCAUAACUGUGCUCAUGGGUGGUCCUCUGAUUAGUUAAACUCCAAAAGGGAAUUGGAGUUUCCUUCAUUAAACAGUCCAAAAUCACAUUACACAAUUUCACAAACAGUUCCAUCCUCACUCAUUCAUUUUAUACAACAAUUAGAUGUAAGCCUCAUAACUGAGGCUAUUAUAUAAACAGCGUUAUGGUAAUGUGGCCGUAUUGUCUCUCAUGAGUUUCACAAAAUUGCCGCACAUUUACUGUACCGGUUCCCCCUGUAUAUAGCCUCGCUAUUGUUAUUUUACUGCUGCUGUUUGUUACUUUUAUCUAUGUUAACACGUUUUUCUUCUUAACUUCUUAAAGCAAUGUUGGUUAAGGGCUUGUAAGUAAGCAUUUCAUUGUAAGGUCUACACCUGUUGUAUUCAGCGCAUGUGACAAAUACAAUUUUGAUUUGACAACAGGGGUGGCCUAUGUUAAAAAUGUUUUAAAAAGUACAAAGCCUUUGUAAGGUGUUAAGCCUGUGAUAAAAUAUGCUUAAAAUCAUUAAAAGACAAAGUGAUUGUG
rnacentral:lncRNA from 1 species